CUCACUUUAAAAGUAUCAAGUUGUCCUGAUUGACACCAUUAUGGGGAUGUUAAUUGUGAUAGCUCUCGUAUGCUCUUUGGCUGGACAAACUUUGGGGGAAAUCAAGUACAAGAUGAAUAUCAACCUUGAUUUAGAUGUCGGUGACUCUGAUACUGCUAUGAGAUUCUUUGGUACUGGUCCGGUGCCGGCCGAUUGUAACUGUCACAAAUGCCACAGCAACUUUUAUUGUCCGCCAUGCUUUGCGAUUGGUUGCUACUAACUGUGACCAACUACGGCUUUGACUGAAAAUGUAUUGGAGGAUAAGAAAAAAGGCGUCACUAUUUGCAUAAAUCGAUAACAGAUACAAUUCAAGUUAUUGUAGUUUAUACAAUAAAGCAUUCAAUACCAUA